GACGAACGCUGGCGGCGUGCUUAACACAUGCAAGUCGAACGGAAAGGCCCUGCUUUUGUGGGGUGCUCGAGUGGCGAACGGGUGAGUAACACGUGAGUAACCUGCCCUUGACUUUGGGAUAACUUCAGGAAACUGGGGCUAAUACCGGAUAGGAGCUCCUGCUGCAUGGUGGGGGUUGGAAAGUUUCGGCGGUUGGGGAUGGACUCGCGGCUUAUCAGCUUGUUGGUGGGGUAGUGGCUUACCAAGGCUUUGACGGGUAGCCGGCCUGAGAGGGUGACCGGCCACAUUGGGACUGAGAUACGGCCCAGACUCCUACGGGAGGCAGCAGUGGGGAAUAUUGCACAAUGGGCGGAAGCCUGAUGCAGCAACGCCGCGUGCGGGAUGACGGCCUUCGGGUUGUAAACCGCUUUCGCCUGUGACGAGGCGUGAGUGACGGUAAUGGGUAAAGAAGCACCGGCUAACUACGUGCCAGCAGCCGCGGUGAUACGUAGGGUGCGAGCGUUGUCCGGAUUUAUUGGGCGUAAAGGGCUCGUAGGUGGUUGAUCGCGUCGGAAGUGUAAUCUUGGGGCUUAACCCUGAGCGUGCUUUCGAUACGGGUUGACUUGAGGAAGGUAGGGGAGAAUGGAAUUCCUGGUGGAGCGGUGGAAUGCGCAGAUAUCAGGAGGAACACCAGUGGCGAAGGCGGUUCUCUGGGCCUUUCCUGACGCUGAGGAGCGAAAGCGUGGGGAGCGAACAGGCUUAGAUACCCUGGUAGUCCACGCUGUAAACGGUGGGUACUAGGUGUGGGGUCCAUUCCACGGGUUCCGUGCCGUAGCUAACGCUUUAAGUACCCCGCCUGGGGAGUACGGCCGCAAGGCUAAAACUCAAAGGAAUUGACGGGGCCCCGCACAAGCGGCGGAGCAUGCGGAUUAAUUCGAUGCAACGCGUAGAACCUUACCUGGGUUUGACAUGGAUCGGGAGUGCUCAGAGAUGGGUGUGCCUCUUUUGGGGUCGGUUCACAGGUGGUGCAUGGCUGUCGUCAGCUCGUGUCGUGAGAUGUUGGGUUAAGUCCCGCAACGAGCGCAACCCUUGUUCACUGUUGCCAGCACGUUAUGGUGGGGACUCAGUGGAGACCGCCGGGGUCAACUCGGAGGAAGGUGGGGAUGACGUCAAGUCAUCAUGCCCCUUAUGUCCAGGGCUUCACGCAUGCUACAAUGGCUGGUACAGAGAGUGGCGAGUCUGUGAGGGUGAGCGAAUCUCGGAAAGCCGGUCUCAGUUCGGAUUGGGGUCUGCAACUCGACCUCAUGAAGUCGGAGUCGCUAAUAAUCGCAGAUCAGCAACGCUGCGGUGAAUACGUUCCCGGGGCU
rnacentral:rRNA from 1 species